AUUUUGAGAGGCAUCCCUCACCUGUUCAUUUCUUCUGUGUUGAAAUGAAGUACUUAAAAUUACCGUUAUACAUGAACUUUGUGGACUGUAAGAUUUGUUAUAUAUGUUCAAAUGCCUUUUAGCUGGCUUUUUAAUUAAUAUGCCUGUUUUGAGUGCUUAAUACAAUGUAAUGUGAUUGUAAAUCAUACCUAUUUUAAAUCAUUCCUUCCUGUAUAUUUGUACUCAGAGAGCCUUAUUUUAUUCUUCCAGCAGAAUUACUACUUGUGAUAGUUCAUUUACAUUCCCCAGAAUGUGCCUCUAGUGUGAAUUUUGUAUUCUUAUUAAACGUGUUUGCUGCAGUAAAUCGUUUCUCUGGACCUUCAUAGUUUAAGAAGUAACUAUUUGGAAAUUCUGAAGACACAUAAUUUGCGUUUUCUGAACCUUAAAAAAAAAGAGACAGGUUUCGCCAUGUUGCCCAGGCUGGGCUCAAGUGAUCCUCUCGCCUCAGCCUCCCAAAGUGCUGGAUUACAGUAGCCUCUUUGGAAUCCUGUACACCUAGCUUAUGGAAACGUGUUAGCCCAAGCCAUGGCAG
rnacentral:lncRNA from 10 species